GCCCUCGUAGUAUAAUGGAUACUCGCCCAAAGGUCAAAUUGGGAUGCAGCCAGAAAGUACAUGGGAUUGCGGAUCCUAAGAUCGGAGUUCGAUUCUCCGCGGGGGCG
rnacentral:tRNA from 1 species